UGUAGGAUAGGUGGGAGGCUAUGAAGACGUGACGCCAGUUGCGUUGGAGCCGUCCUUGAAAUACCACCCUUGUAUGUUUGAUGUUCUAACUUAGCCCCAUUAUCUGGGGUGAGGACAGUGCCUGGUGGGUAGUUUGACUGGGGCGGUCUCCUCCCAAAGAGUAACGGAGGAGCACGAAGGUGGGCUAAUCACGGUUGGACAUC
rnacentral:rRNA from 1 species